GUAGGUGUGCUCACAACCAACUCAUCAAAUGCUCUCUUAAUUGGCAGAACUUACAUCAGAAGAUGAAAAGCAUGAGUAAUGUUCUUGUCAAAAAAGAACAUUCUGGACUAUGCCAUACAAACAAGCAAUAAAGGGAGGUUGGAGUCCUGCCAACUCAGCCUCAUGAGUAAACAUUUGUGAGGUCAGUCCCAGUGUGGAAACACAGGCGGUCCUCUUUUUUGGGCAUUGGAAUCAAUACAAAGAGCCCAUUGCUCAUUCCAAAGAGAACGAAGAGUCUAGGGAACUGAGAGGAAGCAGAUCAUGUCCAAUCCACCUCUGAGUCUCUGAGCCAUGGUGCAUGUGGACAGUGAAAUGUCCUGCUCAGUGAUGUAUGACUUCAGCCUGCCAUGUACAACAAUCUGCUUGGGAAACCAGAGGACUUCUGAUGAUAACUCAUUUUACAGCACCCCGUUGAGGAUUCUGCUGAGCUGCAACUGUGGUUGGGCACAGAAAUGACACAUAGUAGGUACUUGGUUGAAUCUGUGUUCCCUUGAAAACAGAGCCUAGGAUCCCGGUUUGCAGGCUGGCGGUUGAUUUGGAAGUGGUCAUCUGCUGUGCAUUUACCAGAUACUGAGCACUUUUGCUUAUCUUGUCUCAUUUAAUUUCCACUUCAGUCCUGAAAGGAAAUAACAAUAACAGUCCAGGCUUUGGAAUCAGACUGCAUUCAAACUCUGGCUUCUCCAUGUUUCAGCCAUGUGACUAUGGCCCCAAAAGUCACAUAUUCAUCGUUCUUGAGAGAAUCCUGACCACAUUGGCCAAACAUACAGAAGACUUGAAACCUCUUUUGAACAUCCUUUGGGCUAUCAAGAGGACAUGAAAUCUUCAGAACACCAUCUAAAUGUGCAAGAUUGUUUGAAGAAUGUAGUAGAACAGUUGGGUCUUUGGUGUGGUUGGGCCAGAGUAUGAAAAAGUCUUACAAAAAUAAUUUUCAUGUAUUUCUUCUCUUAUCUCUAUAUAUUCACUGAAUAUCACCCUUUUAUGACAAGUUGCUAUUGACAACUUCUCCAUAAUCUAGGUAACUUUGGGCAAUAUUGGCCCUGAAAAAUUUAUAGAAUGCUAGUAAUUCAUGUUAAAUUGAGUAUUCCCAAGAGUUUCCAUACAAUAUUACAUGUAUAUUCUUUUAAAUAAAAGCCCUGUAAGAUUAAUCUCAAUUCGUAUCAUCUCAGCACUUCACCUUUUGAUGUAUUGCCAUGUAAGUGAAUUAUGUUUGUGGGCAAAAAUGAUGAAUAAUUGAAUACUCAAAUGAA